rnacentral:pre_miRNA from 1 species
GGGGGGUGUGACCCCACGCUUCCUGGGUUGUGUGACCCCACGCUCCCUGGGGGGUAUGAUCCCAUGCUUCCU